CAGAAAUACAGGUAAACAUGGAUGCCUACAACUUGCCAGAAAUACAGGUAAACAUGGAUGCCUACAACUUGCCAGAAAUACAGGUAAACAUGGAUGCCUACAACUUGCCAGAAAUACAGGUAAACAUGGAUGCCUACAACUUGCCAGAAAUACAGGUAAACAUGGAUGCCUACAACUUGCCAGAAAUACAGGUAAACAUGGAUGCCUACAACU